UAGGGAAUUGUUCGCAAUGGGCGCAAGCCUGACGACGCAACGCCGCGUGGAGGACGAAGAUCUUCGGGUCGUAAACUCCUGUCGAGCGGGAAGAACAGCGUGCGGGUCAAUACCCCGCACGCCUGACGGUACCGCUAGAGGAAGCCCCGGCUAACUCCGUGCCAGCAGCCGCGGUAAUACGGGGGGGGCAAGCGUUGUUCGGAAUUACUGGGCGUAAAGGGCUCGUAGGCGGCCAGCUAAGUCGGUUGUGAAAUCCCCCGGCUCAACCGGGGAACUGCGACCGAUACUGGUUGGCUCGAAGCCGGGAGAGGGAUGCGGAAUUCCAGGUGUAGCGGUGAAAUGCGUAGAUAUCUGGAGGAACACCCGUGGCGAAGGCGGCAUCCUGGACCGGUCUUGACGCUGAGGAGCGAAAGCCAGGGUAGCAAACGGG
rnacentral:rRNA from 2 species